rnacentral:rRNA from 1 species
GAUGAACGCUGGCGGCGUGCCUAACACAUGCAAGUCGAACGAAGCUUGAUGAAUGAUUUCUUCGGAAUGAAUUCUGAUAUGACUUAGUGGCGGACGGGUGAGUAACACGUGAGCAACCUGCCUUUCAGAGGGGGAUAACGGCUGGAAACGGUCGCUAAUACCGCAUGAUAUGUUUGGAUGGCAUCAUUUGAACAUCAAAGAUUUAUCGCUGAAAGAUGGGCUCGCGUCUGAUUAGAUAGUUGGUGAGGUAACGGCUCACCAAGUCGACGAUCAGUAGCCGGACUGAGAGGUUGAACGGCCACAUUGGGACUGAGAUACGGCCCAGACUCCUACGGGAGGCAGCAGUGGGGAAUAUUGCACAAUGGGGGAAACCCUGAUGCAGCAACGCCGCGUGAAGGAAGACGGUUUUCGGAUUGUAAACUUCUUUUCUUUGUGAAGAAACAAAUGACGG